ACGGGCUUCGGUCUGGUGGCGAGUGGCGAACGGGUGAGUAAAGUAUCGGAACGUACCUUUCAGUGGGGGAUAACGUAGCGAAAGUUACGCUAAUACCGCAUAUUCUGUGAGCAGGAAAGCAGGGGAUCGCAAGACCUUGCGCUGAUUGAGCGGCCGAUAUCAGAUUAGCUAGUUGGUGGGGUAAAGGCCUACCAAGGCGACGAUCUGUAGCGGGUCUGAGAGGAUGAUCCGCCACACUGGAACUGAGACACGGUCCAGACUCCUACGGGAGGCAGCAGUGGGGAAUUUUGGACAAUGGGGGCAACCCUGAUCCAGCCAUGCCGCGUGAGUGAAGAAGGCCUUCGGGUUGUAAAGCUCUUUCGGCCGGGAAGAAAUCGCAUGGGCUAAUACCCUGUGUGGAUGACAGUACCGGAAUAAGAAGCACCGGCUAACUACGUGCCAGCAGCCGCGGUAAUACGUAGGGUGCGAGCGUUAAUCGGAAUUACUGGGCGUAAAGCGUGCGCAGGCGGUUUAGUAAGACAGGCGUGAAAUCCCCGGGCUCAACCUGGGAACUGCGCUUGUGACUGCUAAGCUAGAGUAC
rnacentral:rRNA from 1 species